rnacentral:rRNA from 1 species
CACGUAGGCACCAAGCGUUAUCCGGAUUUAUUGGGCGUAAAGAGCUCGUAGGCGGUUCGGUAAGUCGGGUGUGAAAACUCUGGGCUCAACCCAGAGAGGCCACCCGAUACUGCUGUGACUAGAGUGCGGUAGGGGAGCGGGGAAUUCCUGGUGUAGCGGUGAAAUGCGCAGAUAUCAGGAGGAACACCAGUGGCGAAGGCGGCUCACUGGCCCGGUACUGACGCUGAGGUGCGAAAGCGUGGGGAGCAAACAGG